GCUUAACCGAAGAAGUGCAUCGGAAACUGGGUGACUUGAGUGCAGAAGAGGACAGUGGAACUCCAUGUGUAGCGGUGGAAUGCGUAGAUAUAUGGAAGAACACCAGUGGCGAAGGCGGCUGUCUGGUCUGCAACUGACGCUGAGGCUCGAAAGCAUGGGUAGCGAACAGGAUUAGAUACCCUGGUAGUCCAUGCCGUAAACGAUGAGUGCUAGGUGUUGGAGGGUUUCCGCCCUUCAGUGCCGGAGCUAACGCAUUAAGCACUCCGCCUGGGGAGUACGACCGCAAGGUUGAAACUCAAAGGAAUUGACGGGGGCCCGCACAAGCGGUGGAGCAUGUGGUUUAAUUCGAAGCUACGCGAAGAACCUUACCAGGUCUUGACAUCUUGCGCUAACCUAAGAGAUUAGGCGUUCCCUUCGGGGACGCAAUGACAGGUGGUGCAUGGUCGUCGUCAGCUCGUGUCGUGAGAUGUUGGGUUAAGUCCCGCAACGAGCGCAACCCUUGUUACUAGUUGCCAGCAUUCAGUUGGGCACUCUAGUGAGACUGCCGGUGACAAACCGGAGGAAGGUGGGGACGACGUCAGAUCAUCAUGCCCCUUAUGACCUGGGCUACACACGUGCUACAAUGGAUAAUACAAAG
rnacentral:rRNA from 1 species